rnacentral:rRNA from 1 species
GCAGGUGCGAAAGCAGGUCAUAGUGAUCCGGUGGUUCUGAAUGGAAGGGCCAUCGCUCAACGGAUAAAAGGUACUCCGGGGAUAACAGGCUGAUACCGCCCAAGAGUUCAUAUCGACGGCGGUGUUUGGCACCUCGAUGUCGGCUCAUCACAUCCUGGGGCUGAAGUAGGUCCCAAGGGUAUGGCUGUUCGCCAUUUAAAGUGGUACGCGAGCUGGGUUUAGAACGUCGUGAGACAGUUCGGUCCCUAUCUGCCGUGGGCGCUGGAGAACUGAGGGGGGCUGCUCCUAGUACGAGAGGACCGGAGUGGACGCAUCACUGGUGUUCGGGUUGUCAUGCCAAUGGCACUGCCCGGUAGCUAAAUGCGGAAGAGAUAAGUGCUGAAAGCAUCUAAGCACGAAACUUGCCCCGAGAUGAGUUCUCCCUGACCCUUUAAGGGUCCUGAAGGAACGUUGAAGACGACGACGUUGAUAGGCCGGGUGUGUAAGCGCAGCGAUGCGUUGAGCUAACCGGUACUAAUGAACCGUGAGGCUUAACCUU